CCAGACCCCAACAAGGGCUCCAGCUUCACCCUCAGCAGCUACACCAUGAGCUGGGUGCGACAGGCGCCCGGGAAGGGGCUGGAGUACGUCGCGAGUAUUAGCAAGGGUGGUAGUUACACAGAGUACGCGCCGUCGGUCAAGGGGCUUCACCCUCUCCCGGGACAACUCCCGGAGCACGGUCACGCUGCAGAUGAACAGCCUCCGCGACGACGACACCCCCACCUACGACUGUGUGAAAGAAAGUGGUGGUUUUGGCCCCAACCCCAGCGCUGUGUCCCCAAACACCAUUCAUGGCAUCCCCAAAUCUUCCCCAGACCCCUGA